CAAAAAUAAAUGUCACAGCCCCAAAGAACUUACAGUCUAUAUCUCAACAUUAAAAAAUGCUGGAGUUUGGUUUAAGCUUUCAGGGAGAGAGGAUGGCUUUUAUGUUUCUGAGUGGGUUUACCCAUCCCUAAUCUGCUUUCUUUUACUUUAAGUGCUGCAUUUGUACCAUGAGGCUCUGAUGGACAGUCUGUGUAUCUAGGGGUUGGAAGCUGAAAGACACUCUACCCAGUGAAUACCAAAAAUAACCAUCUGACAUGAACCUGCACCAUUGGCCUCAUCAUUGCAAGUGAAUUGUUGUGUGGGGAGGUCAUCACCAAUCUACAAACUGUUUAGCAGAGAAUCAGUCCAGGAAACCAACCAAGAAAAAAGUCUAGAGGUGCAUGAAGAAAAUAAGGAGCAAGAAACCUCUGGCAGGCACACCGCUAUAUCGCAACCAGUGGGAGAGUGUGGCCACAACUCAGAAGACGUGCUACUAAUUCCAGUAUCCCUUUUUAACAUCAGUGAUCCCCCAACAUGGCCCAAGUUCAUAGAUGACAAAAGACCAGCCAAACUGAAACAUGGACUGUUGCAAAUUAAAGGUAAAAGUUUUCCAAGUCACAAUGGAAGAAAAUUAAAAAAUGGAGGAAAUAUACAAUGGCACUGGCUCAUGUAGUCAAGUAAAGUGGAUGCAUUAUUUUUGCUGAAAGUAUUUGGUGUUGGUAAGCAUCAUCUCAUGGAUGGUGGUGUUCCCUCAAAACGUAACUCUCAAAACUCAUGAGAAAAUCCAUGUUCUUCACAUUGGAAAUAUGGUGAAGUGGAGAGAAUUGGAACUACAACUGAAAACUGAAUCUGCAGUUGACCAGACUUCAUAAUCAUUGUUCGAAAUUGAGAGACAACACUUGUGAGGUGUAUUUGAAAGAACUGUGGCCAUUGUUCUUCACUUAGCAUUUUGUGGUUCCAUGGAAAAAUGUAACCGGUGUGGAAAUGGUAACUUCUUAGGCCAAGUCGAGUUAAUGGCUAAAUUUGAUACUGUGAUGAAGGAACAUGUAAGACAGUUCUUUGCUACAGACACCAUAAUUUAACUUCAAAAUGAUAUCAUUUUGUAUUGUAGGGCUUAUUUCAAAAGGUAACAGGUACAUUUAUUAACAGUGUAAACAAGAUAAAGUAUUACUCCAUUAUUUUGGAUUGCAUAUCUGAUAUCAGACACGAGGAACAAAUGUCUAGACUCAUAGAUCUUAAGGCUGAAAAGGACCAUUGAGAUCAUCUUGUCUCAGCUCCUGCACAUCACAGGCCACGGUACCUCACCCACCCACUCCUGUAGUAUGCCUAUAACCUCUCCUCAAGUCAUGACUUAAAGGGUUCAAGUUAAAGAGUAUCCACCAUUUACUCUUUUUCAACCCAGCAAGUGACCCAUGCCCCAUGCUGCAGAGAGAG